rfam:Oryza glumipatula chromosome 8, whole genome shotgun sequence.
AAAAAGAUAAACCCUGGGUUUCCGUGUCCAACUUUGACUGUCCGUCUUAUAUGGAUUUUUUUUAUAAUUCGUAUUUUUAUUGUUGUUAGAUGAUAAAGCAUGAUUAAUAUUUUAUGCGUGACUUGUCUUUUUAAUUUAUUUUAUAUAUUUUUUUAAAUAAGACGGGCGGUCAAACGUUGGAUACGGAAAUUAAGG